AAGAUGCAGAUGCUUUCCUUCUGUGUACACAGUUAGGCUAGCCGUCCAGUACACUGAACUGUCACAGAGGUCCUCACACAGGUCCUCCUCCUAAUCCUGCGACCUCCACCACAGGUCACCGAACAAGUCCCCCACCGACCCCAUUGACUCCACUUGGCUGAUCACACAGAAAGACAGAAGGAAUUAUGCUUUAAACAAGGAACAUACUGUGUAUCACAGCUGAGCUGACAACGGUGCUGAGGAGCUCCACUGCUGAAAGCUACUGAUUACAGCAGUGACAAUGAUGGUUCAGU